CAUUUUUGAGCUCUUGGUUUGCUUGGUUUGUGCUCAUGCUUUGCUUUUGAAUACUUCGGUUUUGUUGUUCAUGUGCUUUUCCUUUUUUUUCUUUUCAUUGCACAGAGAGUAGCCAAGUGUAGACUUCAAAAAGAUUAGUGCUCAUGUUCACCAGUUCAAGGGUAGCAACUCCAUGUCCAUUGGCGAUGCACUAAGGACUGGAACCUUAAGUUACAAGUAUUUUAAUUUCUUUAGGAGACUUCAAUUGUUAUUGUAUAUGGAGAAGUUUAGGCCAUAUUUCCCCUUCUCCCUACUCCUUGGUACUCAUUUUAUCAAAAAUAAUAUUAAUGAGAAUUUUCUUUUGGUUACACUUU